GCUGUCGCGGUUAUUUAUUUUUGCACACAGAGUGGUCAAUUUCGGGAAAGUUAAGUGGAAAAUUCCAGGUUCGGGACGUGAAAGCGGAAUUAAAACGACUUGCGAAUCAAAGUGGAAUUACGUCCUCGUCGGAAUACACCAGAGGAGGGGAAGCCGGAGGAGGACUCGGUGGACGCAUCUCUCGCGAUUUCUAAUUGAAAAUGGCGAGCUGUGGACAGAGGCAUUACUGCACACCCUGGCGAUACGGGCGCAAUUUCUGCGUCGAGUGCAGCAUCGAUGCCCUGAAACUCGACCCUGAGGCUGUGUUGGAACCGCUGCUGGAAAAGUUGGAGCUUUACACAUUACGAGUGGACUGCGCUUCCAAAGUCGUCUCUGCACUGCUCGGUUCGGCAAAGUCGCUGACGUUCCCUGCCAGUUUGAUUCCAGUUGCUGCUACAGCGAUAGAAGUGGUGUUGAGCAAACUGCGUCCGCUGGACUCGAGAGACGUGUGCGCCGAGCUGCUCACCAAGUGCCUCAAAAUCAUGGAAGAUGAUCCUCCGCGAUGUCCGCGCGUGUCGUUGGCCAGAAUCGUUGUGUCCCAGAGCGUGGUUGCGGCGGGACGCGUGGAGCGCCUGCUGUCGGCCGUGCCAGAGCGUGUGGUGAAAUUGAUGAUUUGUCCGCGGAUUGAAGAAGAUCUCAGAUUGGAUUUGCUGCAAACGGUCGCGAUGCAGCAGCCGCUCCACCAACUGAUGGAAACGCUUCUCGAAGAAUUGCGGAUCGUUGCCAGCACCGACGGCGCCACUGCUGUACUUGACAUUUUGAGGCUAAUCCUAUUACAAACAGACGAUAAGCUAGAAAAAGACGAAAUUCUAAGCCCUCAUAUAUCUUGGCUUCACCAUAAACUGAGUCACUGCUUGAUGUCUCGAGAUGCCGUUUUGCAGUUUUCAGCAGUGAAUUUCACCAAGUGUCUGGUGUGUCAAAAUGAGUCACACGCCAACUCGGUCCUGCAGCAUGGAGAUCUGUGUGACGCAAUGAUGGACCCCCUUCUCAGCUACGACACUAAUGUAGUUAGAGCAACUUUGAGCAUGUUGUCCGAGUUGAGCACAAACGCCCAAAUUUACCAAGAUAAUAAGGCCAAAGUCUUCCUGAAAAGUAUCAUGGCGAAACUUGAAAAAACCUGUGAUGAUUUUGACAACAGUUUCUGCUGCGUCCGACUGCUGGGCCAACUUGUUCAAAACGCCACCAUUCACAAUUGUGACAUCCUCGAAGAUUGCGCCAAUGAGAUUUUCGAACUAACGUGGCAUCUGCUAUUGUCAGAAGACGAAACCGUGAGUCACGCUGCUGCCCAUUUGGCGUUGGAUUUGAUUUCUGCAAGGCAGAUUCCUGGCGUCAAAUGGAACGUGGACGUUCUGCAUCUGGCCCAGCUGGCCAUUGUCAAAGACGCCUGUCCCAAAGAGGACAGCGAUUUGUGCAAUUGUUUUACUCAAAGAGUGGCAAUUAGCCUUAUUUAUUGGUUCAAUGACGAUGAUGAGGAUAAAAUAAACGUUGAACUUGGAAAGUGGAUGACUGAACAGAUUGUAGAGCAUGCUGCGAAUUGUGCUCUUAACGCGGAAUGCAGCAGUGGACGGAAAAUUUUACGGCUCUCAAAAGCUGUAAAAACUUUGCUCUCUCCGAGGAAGUGGUCCGGAAAAUUUGAGUUUGCCACGCAAAUCGCCAAUGUUGGAUUCUUAGAUUAUUUUCUAAGCAACAAAGCACAUUUAUCAAUUGCUUGUGAGCCACUUUCGAUGGUUUUGCAAUUGCUCUGCGAAACUCAUUUGGGCGUCAGCCUAGAUUUGGAAAUGCUGAAUGAGCACCUGGUGCAGGGCUUUGCAUCUUCUUACGACUUUGAUUCUGCAAACAUGCAACUAUGCAUUCUUUACUGCUGGGCCCUCCACUCAUCGUCAGAUAACCCAGCUCUGGCUGAUGAAAUUCCAAACGUGGCCAAAUUCCUCAACUACUGCAACUACCGGUUCAUUUCAAACCACAUGGCCAAAGCUGCAGUUUUCGUCUUGGCUGUGGCUUCAAAGGGCCAUGCAGGCAAAUUACCUGAUUGUGUGGUUCGACUGGUCUCUCGCUGGGCAGCUAACCCUGAAAGUCUAUACACCGACCACGCCGUCUAUGUCUCUUGGGUCCUGCAGUUGCAGCACCAACAAAUUCCUCAAGAGUUUUUAAUCUCAACACUUCAACGCUGGCUUUCUAUGGAUCGUCGCGACUCAGAUGUUCUUUGCAGUUACGCGAAUGCAACCAUUUUUAUGGAGGUAAUGGUAGGCAGUGAUAACAUCACAGCGGCAUUAGGAGCCAUGGCCGCAUUACAUGAAGCCAUCGAGUGUGAGGAUGAGAAGUUACCUUUAACGGAAUUACUCUGGAUGAAACUUCCGAGCUACCUCAUGAAGAAAAGCGCACAAAAUUAUGAAGGAAAUUAUGGCCAUGCAUUGCUGUUGCGUCUUGCCAUCUCAAAUUUUCCUCAAGAAAACUGCGUCAUGCCUUUGGAGGAGUCGUGGUCGGUCUUGCCAGAAUUCAUCGCCCAACUUCUUUUGCAAAAACCGGGAGAUCGGAAGUGGUCCGUCAGUACACUGGAUUCUGCUUUCACAAUCGCCAACCACAUCCUUGCCUCUUCUGAUGAAGCAGACCUCAGCCAAAAGACAAAACUCAAAUUGUUCAUUAAAGUGACAAUUUUUCUUCCCUCUCUGGAGAAAUUCAUCAAUUCCGAGCCAAUAUCAAGUGCUCACAUUUCGGCUUUGGAGUUUGUGACUGCCUUAAUCAACGCACAUGAAAGCUGCCUCAAAAAAAUGAAUUCUCCUAAGGUCCUGGAGUGCAUCAGUCUUGACUCGAAAGUUUUGCUCCAAGCCCUCCAGGCCAAGUCUCAAAGCUGUGAGCUCAUUCGGGCUGUUAUUUGUCUGGUAGACGCUAUCAUUUUGAGUAGCCCUUUAUUGAACCACCUUGUGUCCAUCAAAGUGGAGUCCAGCGAGGCUUUGGCCCAGUUUGCUGCUGAAUUUUACAAACUAGUGCACUUGAGCAUAGCGUUGCACCCUGGUUCUGAAAUUGAGUCAUCGGGGUGGAGUUGCUUGAGGCAGUUGCUAUUGUGGGGAGUGGACAAGUGGCUGUGUCGGACGCCUUGGACACACCUGCUCUUGUGGACAGUGGAAUUACCCUCGAAAUCAGAGUUGGCCACGAGAAACAUGUUGCUUUACUUGAAAUCCUUUUUCAAAACUUUGGAUGAGAGUCAUAAAAUCAGAGUGCAAGGCAAGGAGAAACCCGUCGGAAGUGAAGCAAAAUUGACAAACAAAACUGCCAAACGCCUGGUCGCCUGUGCUUCAAGCUUAGCCUACCUCCAAAAUUGCAGGCGUGGAGUUUAUGAAGUCCUUAAACUAGUACUAAAACUUGAUUACGAGUUGCAAGAAGAAGUGAAGCUGUUGAUCAGCUCGAAAUUAUCCGAGCUCAAGUACGGAGGUUGAAUGCAGAACCGAGAUAUUCCACAUUUUUUAAAUAACUUGGUGUGAUCUGAUGAUCAGAUAAUUAACCUCCUUAGCGAACAUGCCCCAAAGUUUUUGAGAGAAAUACAACUGGAAGUUUUAAAAGCCAAAUCAUCCUGCUCCAUGAACACCAAGCUCAUGAGUGCUGGAACUAUUUAUUCAGUAAAAAUGAUCCCAUUUGUUUUUAAAAAUUUGCCGGUUCCAGUUCUCCCGAAUGUGAGUCCUGGGUAUUUUAAUCACAUGACAAACUUUAUUUAAAUUUGCAGUUUCUGAUCUCACAUUGGAAAGUUCUGAAGACUUUAUUCAUAAUUUUAUUGUAUUGCGGGAAGAAGCAAAUUAAAUUUAUCAUCAGCUAAAUCAUCAAAAGAAACAAGGAGGAAGCAGUAAAACUCAAGAGUGGUUGGGCUGAGAUCAAAAAUGGACCGGUCAAUUGACGAAUGAUCUUGCAGGACAGCAACAGCACAAUUUUACCUUGCUACCAGCCAUGACAUCCUUCGGUAAGUAAGAUGGAGGUUCUUGAGGCAGUUGUUACUGUGGGGAGUGAACAAGUGGCUCUGUCAGAUGCCACUUGUAAAUGGUUAUGUUAAUUGUGAUCUCCAAUAUCUCCAUGUUCGUAAAAAAAUAAAUGAUUUGGUUCUUUCAUAAAAGUCCUAAUAUUACAACACUCUUGUAAAAGAUCAAUUGAAUGGAUAUUUAAUUUGAGUUUGAUUGUUACAAUUUUAGCCUCCUUCUGUGUGCCUUAUAAUAAUUGUAAGAAGAGAGGGAUGUGGCAAUUUUAAGACAAUCUGUUGUUAUAAUAUCAAUAGAAAUAAUUUGAUUUGCCAUUUAGUAAAGGCUAUAAAAAAUGUUAAACUUUUCAAUUUUU